CCUACGGGUGGCAGCAGUGAGGAAUAUUGGUCCAUGGUCGGGAGACUGAACCAGCCAAGCCGCGUGAGGGAGGAAUGUCCAGAGUAUCGUAAACCUCUUUUGUCAGGGAACAAAGGCCGGGCCUUUUCCCCUGAUGAGUUUACCUGAAGAAAAAGCUUCGCCUACCUCCGUGCCCCCAGCCGCGUUAAUCCGGAGGAUGCGAGCGUUAUCCGGAUUUAUUGGGUUUAAAGGGUGCGCAGGCGGUCUGUAAAGUCAGCGUUAAAAGCUGGGGGCUCACCCCCAGCCAGACGUUGAAACUGGGAGUCGAGAGUGGGAGAGAGGUAUGCGGGAUGCGCGGGGUAGCGGUGAAAUGCAUAGAUAUCGCGCAGAACUCCGAGUGCGAAGGCAGCAUGCCGGCUCAAAACUGACGCUGAGGCACGAAAGCGUGGGUAUCGAACAGGAUUAGAUACCCGGGUAGUC
rnacentral:rRNA from 1 species